rnacentral:rRNA from 1 species
GAUGAACGCUGGCGGCGUGCCUAAUACAUGCAAGUCGAGCGAACGGACGAGAAGCUUGCUUCUCUGAUGUUAGCGGCGGACGGGUGAGUAACACGUGGAUAACCUACCUAUAAGACUGGGAUAACUUCGGGAAACCGGAGCUAAUACCGGAUAAUAUUUUGAACCGCAUGGUUCAAAAGUGAAAGACGGUCUUGCUGUCACUUAUAGAUGGAUCCGCGCUGCAUUAGCUAGUUGGUAAGGUAACGGCUUACCAAGGCAACGAUGCAUAGCCGACCUGAGAGGGUGAUCGGCCACACUGGAACUGAGACACGGUCCAGACUCCUACGGGAGGCAGCAGUAGGGAAUCUUCCGCAAUGGGCGAAAGCCUGACGGAGCAACGCCGCGUGAGUGAUGAAGGUCUUCGGAUCGUAAAACUCUGUUAUUAGGGAAGAACAUAUGUGUAAGUAACUGUGCAUAUCUUGACGGUACCUAAUCAGAAAGCCACGGCUAACUACGUGCCAGCAGCCGCGGUAAUACGUAGGUGGCAAGCGUUAUCCGGAAUUAUUGGGCGUAAAGCGCGCGUAGGCGGUUUUUUAAGUCUGAUGUGAAAGCCCACGGCUCAACCGUGGAGGGUCAUUGGAAACUGGAAAACUUGAGUGCAGAAGAGGAAAGUGGAAUUCCAUGUGUAGCGGUGAAAUGCGCAGAGAUAUGGAGGAACACCAGUGGCGAAGGCGACUUUCUGGUCUGUAACUGACGCUGAUGUGCGAAAGCGUGGGGAUCAAACAGGAUUAGAUACCCUGGUAGUCCACGCCGUAAACGAUGAGUGCUAAGUGUUAGGGGGUUUCCGCCCCUUAGUGCUGCAGCUAACGCAUUAAGCACUCCGCCUGGGGAGUACGACCGCAAGGUUGAAACUCAAAGGAAUUGACGGGGACCCGCACAAGCGGUGGAGCAUGUGGUUUAAUUCGAAGCAACGCGAAGAACCUUACCAAAUCUUGACAUCCUUUGACAACUCUAGAGAUAGAGCCUUCCCCUUCGGGGGACAAAGUGACAGGUGGUGCAUGGUUGUCGUCAGCUCGUGUCGUGAGAUGUUGGGUUAAGUCCCGCAACGAGCGCAACCCUUAAGCUUAGUUGCCAUCAUUAAGUUGGGCACUCUAAGUUGACUGCCGGUGACAAACCGGAGGAAGGUGGGGAUGACGUCAAAUCAUCAUGCCCCUUAUGAUUUGGGCUACACACGUGCUGCAAUGGACAAUACAAAGGGCAGCGAAACCGCGAGGUCAAGCAAAUCCCAUAAAGUUGUUCUCAGUUCGGAUUGUAGUCUGCAACUCGACUACAUGAAGCUGGAAUCGCUAGUAAUCGUAGAUCAGCAUGCUACGGUGAAUACGUUCCCGGGUCU